rnacentral:lncRNA from 1 species
UACAAUUGUCACAAAACAAUGUUUGAACAAAAAAGAAAUUAACUAACCUUCCAGUGUCUUUGUCGAUUACCAUCGUCACUCGGUCACUUUGGAUGUCUCUCUUCUCUAUUCGUAGAAUCGUCGAAUAGUGGUGAACCCCUCUCCCUUCCCUCUCCAGAUAGAAACACCAUCCUUAACAAUUGUUGUUUGGUUCUGUCUAAUUGUCUUGCAUCCACCCUGGUUCUGUUGCAUGUGAU